rnacentral:rRNA from 1 species
GAUGAACGCUGGCGGCGUGCCUAAUACAUGCGAGUCGAGCGAACAGACGAGGAGCUUGCUCCUCUGACGUUAGCGGCGGACGGGUGAGUAACACGUGGAUAACCUACCUAUAAGACUGGGAUAACUUCGGGAAACCGGAGCUAAUACCGGAUAAUAUAUUGAACCGCAUGGUUCAAUAGUGAAAGACGGUUUUGCUGUCACUUAUAGAUGGAUCCGCGCCGCAUUAGCUAGUUGGUAAGGUAACGGCUUACCAAGGCAACGAUGCGUAGCCGACCUGAGAGGGUGAUCGGCCACACUGGAACUGAGACACGGUCCAGACUCCUACGGGAGGCAGCAGUAGGGACUCUUCCGCAAUGGGCGAAAGCCUGACGGAGCAACGCCGCGUGAGUGAUGAAGGUCUUCGGAUCGUAAAACUCUGUUAUUAGGGAAGAAAAAAUGUGUAAGUAACUAUGCACGUCUUGACGGUACCUAAUCAGAAAGCCACGGCUAACUACGUG